rnacentral:rRNA from 1 species
CAGCCGCCACGGGAAGACGAACCGUGCGAACGUUAUUCGGAAUCAUUGGGCUUAAAGCGCGUGUAGGCGGAUGGGAACGUCGGUCGCUGAAAUACCCCGGCUCAACCGGGGAACUGGCAUCGAAACGACCCGUCUCGAGGGGCAUGGGGGGAGCUGGAACUUCCGGUGGAGCGGUGAAAUGCGUUGAGAUCGGAAGGAACGCCCGUGGCGAAAGCGAGCUCCUGGAUGUCUUCUGACGCUGAGACGCGAAAGCUAGGGUAGCGAACGGGAUUAGAUACCCGCGUAGUCCCUGUCUCUUAUU